GCUCCGGUUGCCAGUGGUUAGAGCGUCCGCCCCAGAUGCGGAAGGUCAUGUGUUCGAACCACGGCUGAGCCA